rnacentral:rRNA from 1 species
UACGUAGGCAGCAAGCGUUGUUCGGAGUUACUGGGCGUAAAGGGUGUGUAGGCGGUUCUUUUUAAGUUUGGUGUGAAAUCUCCCGGCUCAACCGGGAGGGUGCGCCGAAUACUGAGGGACUAGAGUGCGGGAGAGGAAAGUGGAAUUCCUGGUGUAGCGGUGAAAUGCGUAGAUAUCAGGAGGAACACCGGUGGUGUAGACGGCUUUCUGGACCGUAACUGACGCUGAGACACGAAAGCGUGGGGAGCGAACAGG